AUGGAAAAGCGCCAGCUAUCCCCAGCUGAGUUCAACCUGAGGAAGCUUCUGAAACAGAGGAUUAUCGGUCUUGCGGCCGUCGAGCGUGCGCGUCGUCGCCAAGCUUCUCGGAUAACAUGGCUCAAGGCCGGAGAUGCAACCACUGCUUUCUUCACUGCAAAGGCCUGCUCAAGGAGGAGAAAAAAUUUCAUUCACUCUCUGCGAUCUGAAGAUCAUGUGGCGAUCGAGCAUGACGAGAAGGCUGCCACCAUUUAUGAGCAUUUCAAGAAAAUCAUGGGAGCCGCUGAACCCAGGAAAUGCACCGUUAACUGGGAAGCUCUAAACCUGCCAACGAUCCAAGCUGAUGGACUUGAUGCUCCUUUCACUGAAGCGGAAGUUUGGAGAGCGAUCAUUGAAUCCCCGGCAGAAAAAGCCCCUGGGCCUGACGGUUUCAGCGGACAAUUUUUCAGAAGCUGCUGGGACAUCAUAAAAGAUGAGGUGAUGGCAGUGUUCAACCAGUUCCACAGCCUAUCCGGGCCUUGCUUCCUAAGAAAGAUGGAGCUGAAUCUGUGGGAGAUUUUCGGCCGAUAA
rnacentral:rRNA from 1 species